rnacentral:rRNA from 1 species
GAUGAACGCUGGCGGCGUGCUUAACACAUGCAAGUCGAACGGAAAGGCCCAAGCUUGCUUGGGUACUCGAGUGGCGAACGGGUGAGUAACACGUGGGUGAUCUGCCCUGCACUUAGGGAUAAGCCUGGGAAACUGGGUCUAAUACCGGAUAGGACCACAUUUUGGAUGGUGUGGUGGAAAGUUUUUCGGUGUGGGAUGAGCUCGCGGCCUAUCAGCUUGUUGGUGGGGUAAUGGCCUACCAAGGCGUCGACGGGUAGCCGGCCUGAGAGGGUGUACGGCCACAUUGGGACUGAGAUACGGCCCAGACUCCUACGGGAGGCAGCAGUGGGGAAUAUUGCACAAUGGGCGCAAGCCUGAUGCAGCGACGCCGCGUGGGGGAUGACGGCCUUCGGGUUGUAAACUCCUUUCGCUAGGGACGAAGCGUUUUUGUGACGGUACCUGGAGAAGAAGCACCGGCUAACUACGUG